rnacentral:rRNA from 5 species
AGACCCGAAACCCGGUGAUCUAGCCAUGGGCAGGUUGAAGGUUGGGUAACACUAACUGGAGGACCGAACCGACUAAUGUUGAAAAAUUAGCGGAUGACCUGUGGCUGGGGGUGAAAGGCCAAUCAAACCGGGAGAUAGCUGGUUCUCCCCGAAAGCUAUUUAGGUAGCGCCUCGUGAAUUCAUCUCCGGGGGUAGAGCACUGUUUCGGCUAGGGGGCCAUCCCGGCUUACCAACCCGAUGCAAACUGCGAAUACCGGAGAAUGUUAUCACGGGAGACACACGGCGGGUGCUAACGUCCGUCGUGAAGAGGGAAACAACCCAGACCGCCAGCUAAGGUCCCAAAGUCAUGGUUAAGUGGGAAACGAUGUGGGAAGGCCCAGACAGCCAGGAUGUUGGCUUAGAAGCAGCCAUCAUUUAAAGAAAGCGUAAUAGCUCACUGGUCGAGUCGGCCUGCGCGGAAGAUGUAACGGGGCUAAACCAUGCACCGAAGCUGCGGCAGCGACACUGUG